ensembl:lncRNA
CUCACCUGUGUCAUCAACAAUGCUAUCUGGCUGUUUUCCCAAUUCUCUGAAGGAGGCAAAAGUUAACCCUCUCCUGAAGAAACCCACCCUCAACCCUUCUGAAGAAAACAACUUCAGACCAGUCUCUCUUCUUCCCUUUUUGUCCAAAACUCUUUAACGUGCGAUCUUUAACCAACUCUCCUCCUAUCUCCAACAUAACAACCUCCUUGACCCCCCCACCAGUCAGGCUUCAAGGCAGGCCAUUCCACAGAGACUGCUCUCCUUGCUGUCUCAGAGCAACUCCACACUGCUAGAGCCGCCUCUCUCUCCUCUGUCCUCCUCUGCAUUUGACACAGUCAACCAUCAGAUCCUUAUUUUCUUCAGGAACUUGGGUGUCUCAGGCUCUGCUCUCUCCCUUCUCUCGUCCUACCUCGACGGCCGCACCUACCGGGUAACCUGGCGAGGAUCUUUGUCGGAACCUUGGGUUUGAAACAGGGUUCGGGCUUGUCGGUUUGAUACAGUGCAAAUACAGAGCAAAUUUACAAUGGAACCUGUGGCAAAAGAGAGGUCGACCCGAGAUGUGGGAGCACUUCAAUUUGAUUUCCUCUAACGAGGUUUGUAAUAGGCAGGCCAAGUCUAAUCAAUGUGUUUUUAUGCCAUUUUUGUCAUUUUGGUUAAGAAUAAUUACUCGUAUAAUAUUUAGUACCACACAAGAAUGAUUUCAUGUUUGAAAUAUCUUUAUUUUUUCCUUGUAACAUUUGUUAAAAUGUGGCUGGGUUGUGGCUUUUGUAACCCCACACCUUUGUGUUGCCUCAAUAAUCGGGGUUUGCAGUUGGGGGCAGCCUUCCAGUCCACUCCUCGUGUGGGGUGUGACAAGCUUCUUUGACAGCUCUUUGAGGAAGAGCCGUUGUGCAUUGGUGAUGCCGCUCUUGAAUUCUGGGUGCUGAGCCGUGAAAAAGGUGUAGGUAUUCAGGGUGGCAAUCUCAAUUAUGUUAUUGCAGGUGUAGGAGCCAACCAUCCUGUCAGUGGUGUCUACACCUCCUUUCGUCUUGAUGUAAAAUGUGAUGUGAUGUCUGGCUUGUUUAGACGUAAAGUCCCCACAAUAGUGAGAUCCUUCUCCAGGAGAUGCUGUGCAAGACGCACACUGGUGAAAAGGUUAUCCAUGGUGAUGUUGCGGCCUGGGUUUCUAAAUCUACUACACAACCGCUGGACAAUGUUGUCCCCCAGAUUCUUCUGAACUUCUUCAAAUGGUUGUCUCCCCAUGUAAACUAUACCAUUUAUUGCAUAGGGGAUGCGUGCAUCACAAACCCAGAAGAUCUUUAGGCCGUACUUGGCGGGCUUGCUUGGCAUGUACUGUAGAAACUUGCAUCUACCCCCGAAUGGCACAAGCUGUUCGUCCACAGUGACACAAUCACUGGGGAUGAAUCGCUGUUCGCAGAUGAUCAGAAAAUGGUCCCAUACAUAGCGAAAGGCUGCCAUGUGGUCUGUUUCCAGACUGAUAAGAAUCACAUUUCCAUUGACCAACUUACUACUUGCGGUAGUAGUACAAAAACUACAAUUUCUUAAAAUGUAUAAAAGGUAAGU